rnacentral:rRNA from 1 species
UACGUAGGUGGCAAGCGUUGUCCGGAUUUACUGGGCGUAAAGAGCGCGCAGGCGGUCGCUCAAGUCGCGUGUGAAAGCCCCCGGCUCAACUGGGGAGGGUCACGCGAUACUGAUCGACUCGAAGGCAGGAGAGGGUAGUGGAAUUCCCGGUGUAGUGGUGAAAUGCGUAGAUAUCCGGAGGAACACCGGUGGCGAAGGCGGCUUCCUGGACCGACACUGACGCUGAGGCGCGAAAGCUAGGGGAGCAAACGGG